rnacentral:rRNA from 1 species
CCCCGGCUAACUCCGUGCCAGCAGCCGCGGUAAUACUAAGGGGGCUAGCGUUGUUCGGAAUUACUGGGCGUAAAGGGCGCGUAGGCGGUUCUUUAAGUCAGGUGUGAAAUCCCGGGGCUCAACCCGGGAACUGCCUUUGAUACUGAAGAGCUUGAGUACGGGAGAGGUGAGUGGAAUUGCCGGUGUAGAGGUGAAAUGCGUAGAUAUUCGGAGGAACACCUGUGGCGAAGGCGGCUCACUGGACCGUUACUGACGCUGAGGCGCGAAAGCGUGGGGAGCAAACAGGAUUAGAUACCCUGGUAGUCCACGCCCUAAACGAUGAAUGCUUGCCGUU